AUUGAACGCUGGCGACAGGCCUAACACAUGCAAGUCGAGCGAAGCGGGGACGGGUGAGUAACACGUGGAUAACCUCCUAUAAGACUGGGAUAACUUCGGGAAACCGGAGCUAAACCGGAAACUUAUAGAUUGAUACGGUCUGCAUUAGCUAGUUGGUAAGGUAACGGCUUACAAAGGCAACGAUGCAUAGCCGACCUGGGAGGGUGAUCGGCCAAACUGGAACGUAGACAGGGUCCAGACUCCUACGGGAGGAAUCAGUAGGGAAUCUUCCGCAAUGGGCGAAAGCCUGACGGAGCAACGCCUCGUGAGUGAGUAAGGUUUUCGGAUCGUAAAACUCUGUUAUUAGGGAAGCGGUACCUAAUCAGAAAGCCACGGCUAACUACGUGCCAGCAGCCGCGGUAAUAC
rnacentral:rRNA from 1 species